GAUGAACGCUGGCGGCGUGCCUAAUACAUGCAAGUCGAGCGAACAGACGAGGAGCUUGCUCCUCUGACGUUAGCGGCGGACGGGUGAGUAACACGUGGAUAACCUACCUAUAAGACUGGGAUAACUUCGGGAAACCGGAGCUAAUACCGGAUAACAUGUUGAAACGCAUGGUUCAACAGUGAAAGACGGUCUUGCUGUCGCUUAUAGAUGGAUCCGCGCCGCUUUAGCUAGUUGGUAAGGUAACGGCUUACCAAGGCAAGGAUGCGUAGCCGACCGGAGAGGGUGAUCGGCCACACUGGAACGGGGACACGGUCCAGACUCCUACGGGAGGCAGCAGUAGGGAAUCUUCCGCAAUGGGCGAAAGCCUGACGGAGCAACGCCGCGUGAGUGAAGAAGGUCUUCGGAUCGUAAAACUCUGUUAUUAGGGAAGAACAAAUGUGUAAGUAACUGUGCACGUCUUGACGGUACCUAAUCAGAAAGCCACGGCUAACUACGUG
rnacentral:rRNA from 1 species